rnacentral:rRNA from 1 species
GACAACGGCUGGCGGCGUGGAUUAGGCAUGCAAGUCGAACGGUAGGAUACCUUCGGGGUAUCUGAGAGUGGCGAACGGGUGAGUAACACGUAGGUGAUCUACCCUCAAGAUUGGGACAACCCAGGGAAACUUGGGCUAAUACCGGAUGAAAGCAGCAGUGAUGUUGUUUGAAAGGUGGCGUAAGCUGCCGUUUGGGGAUGAGCCUGCGCUCUAUUAGUUAGUUGGCGGGGUAAAGGCUUACCAAGGCGAUGAUAGAUAGGCGGCCUUAACGGGUGGUCGCCCACACUGGGAUUGAGAUACGGCCCAGACUCCGUACGGGAGGCAGCAGUCGAGAAUAGUCUACAAUGGACGAAAGUCUGAUAGUGCGACGCCGCGUGAACGAAGAAGCCCUUCGGGGUGUAAAGUUCUUUUAUAUGUGAGCAAUGCUUCCUAGGUGAAUAGUUUAGGGAGAGAGAUAUUAGCAUAUGAAUAAGCAACGGCUAACUCCGUG